GAUUAAGUUAUUAAGGGCGCACGGUGGAUGCCUUGGCACUAGAAGCCGAUGAAGGACGUUACUAACGACGAUAUGCUUUGGGGAGCUGUAAGUAAGCUUUGAUCCAGAGAUUUCCGAAUGGGGAAACCCAGCAUGAGUUAUGUCAUGUUAUCGAUAUGUGAAUACAUAGCAUAUCAGAAGGCACACCCGGAGAACUGAAACAUCUUAGUACCCGGAGGAAGAGAAAGAAAAUUCGAUUCCCUUAG
rnacentral:rRNA from 1 species